rnacentral:rRNA from 1 species
UACGUAGGGGGCGAGCGUUGUCCGGAUUUAUUGGGCGUAAAGAGCGUGUAGGCGGCCAGGUAGGUCUGCUGUGAAAACUCGAGGCUCAACCUCGAGACGUCGGCGGAAACCAUCUGGCUAGAGUCCGGAAGAGGAGAGUGGAAUUCCCGGUGUAGCGGUGAAAUGCGCAGAUAUCGGGAAGAACACCAGUGGCGAAGGCGGCUCUCUGGGACGGUACUGACGCUGAGACGCGAAAGCGUGGGGAGCAAACAGG